rnacentral:lncRNA from 1 species
AUCCUUAAAACUAGUCCUUUAAAUGAUUUUUGUGUGGAAGGAUUUGGCGAAUGAUUAGUAAAAUUGAGAAUGAAAAUGGGGAAUGUGUCAAAGAAACAACAAUCCAACCAAAGAGCAGAAAACAUGGGUAUUCAAUACAUUGUGUCCAGUAUAAAUAUGGAAAAAGUUUGCAGUGAUGCGAAUGAUGAAGGGUUAAAGUUCAAAGCAUUUAUAUCACAUGAUCUUGGAAGGUGAGAAAGUUU